rnacentral:lncRNA from 1 species
AUGGGACUUCCACCGUCGUUGAGGGGAUUAUCUUUAGGUGGUUGCAGCGACGAACUAAGUAUGCAGUGCAGAAUGGCAGCAACGGAGAAGCUACAGGGGUUAAAGAGGGAGGUAGGCAGCAAGAAGGCGGUCACCAGCGGAAAGGAAUGGGUGCAUUCUGUCUUGAGAACUACUCCACUUGAUACCCUCAGCCUCCUCUUGCUUAAAAUCCGAAGCUCGCACAAAGAACAUUUUGGUCCUAAGGGUUAUGAUACUGGUGCAAUCAAA